CGAUUGGCUCCCGGGCUCUCCCGCGAGAUUUAAAACAUAAAUCCGCGACCACUCGAACAGCUGCUGUACUGCAGCCUGGCUGGACCUUUCUUCAGGCAAGGCCGCAACUGCCGGGUCUUCCCCGAGCCAGAGGAUGGCUGUGCUUAACCAGAAGUCUGUUAUGCAUAUGAUUAGAGAGUUCAGAAGGAAUUGGCAUACUCUUUGUAACUCUGAGAGGACUACUGUGUGUGGUGCAGACUCCAUGCUCUUGGCAUUGCAGCUUUCCAUGGCAGAGAACAACAAACAGCACAGUGGAGAAUUUACAGUCUCUCUCAGCGAUGUCUUAUUGACCUGGAAAUAUUUGUUACAUGAGAAAUUGAACUUACCAGUUGAAAAUAUGGAAGUGAUUGACCAUUAUGAGGACAUUAGGAGGAUUUAUGAUGAUUUCUUGAAGAAUAGUAACAUGUUAGAUCUGAUCGAUGUUUAUAAAAAAUGUGGCAUUUUGACUUCUAAUUAUGAAAAUUAUGCCAAUAUAUCUCCUAGUCAACUACGGGAUUUUCUGUGUGGCAGACAAUAUGCAGUAGAUGAUGAAACUGAUUUCUGUGUACCAACAUCACCAAUGAGUAAACACAACCAGGAUAAUGAAAAGGUGCGGUUACUAGCAAAGAAAAUUAUCUACUCGUAUUUAAACCUGCUGGUGAAUUCAAAGAAUGACUUGGCUCUGGCUCAUAUUCUCAAUAUUCCUGAUAGAGGACUUGGAAGAGAAGCCUUCACUGCUUUGAAACAUGCUGCUCGAGAGAAACAGAUGUCUAUCUUUUUGGUGGCCACAUCAUUUAUUAGAACAUUAGAGCUUGGAGGGAAAGGAUAUGCACCAUCACCAUCUGAUCCUUUAAGGACACAUAUAAAAGGAUUGUCUCAUUUUAUUAAUUUCAUUGACAAAUUAGAUGAAAUUCUUGGAGAAAUACCAAAUCCAAGCAUUGCAGGGGGUCGAAUACUCUCAGUGAUAAAGAUGCAGCUGAUUAAAGGUCAGAACAGCAGGGAUCCUUUUUAUAAGGCAGUAGAGGAAGUUGCUCAAGAUUUGGAUUUGAGGAUUAAACAUAUUACCAAUUCUCAACAAGGAGAUGUAGCUGUUAGUACCACUGACAGCAGUCCUGCACGGCCAAAAUCUCAUGCCAUAAACCAUGGCACUGCAUACUGUGGCAGAGAUACUGUGAAAACUUUAUUAGUUCUGUUGGAUGAAGAAGCAGCCAGUGCUCCUACCAAAAACAAAGCAGAGCUUUUAUAUGAUGAUGAAAAUACAAUUCAUCAUAAUGGAACUUCUAUUCUUACACUUUUUAGAUCUCCCACACAAGUGAAUAAUUCAUCGGUGAAACCCCUAAGAGAACGCAUCCAUAAGUCAAUGCAAGAGAAAAAAAUUAAGGUGAAGCAAAUGUUAAUUAGAUCUCAGUUUGCUUGUACUUACAAAGAUGACUGCAUGAUAAGCAAGGAUAAAUGGAAUAAUGUUAAUACAGCAUCAAAGGCUUUGCGUGUUCUUCACAUGGAAAAUGACCUUUCUGAAGGUACAGAUUCAUCUGUUGGAAGACCAACAAUUGGAGCAAGUUCUGGAAAUGUUCAUCUGGACAAAAGUAAAAAUGAAGUAGCAAGAAAAUCAAGUAGUCAGACUGGAAAUAAAAACUCAAAAAGGAAACAGGUGGAUCUGGAUGAUGAAAAUACUCUCUGUGAUAAUGGAAACGAACCACUUCAACAUAAAAAUGUUAAGAUACCUAAGACAUCAAAAGAUUUGCUAAGUAAAUUGGAUGGCAAACUAGUCAGAGUAGCAAAAAGCAACAAGUGUACCACCAACGACAAAUUGAUUACUGGCCAGACAAAGUUAACUCAGUUUUUUAGACUAUGAAUUUGUCUUUUAUGUGCUUUAGAUUUAUGCAUAUAUAAAACCAUUCAUGAAAGGCAUCUACUUUAUUUUUAAGAGAUCAAGGUGUAAAUUACGGUGUUUUAUUAUUUUGGACUGCAGUGUAUGUAAGGUUAGUAUGUUAGGCAUUGUUUAAAAAAUACUAGUAAGUCAUAAUUAUGCAGAAUAUUCACAAAGUUUAAUGCACAGAUAAAGCAUAUCAUAUAGGUUACUGAUAUAUCUUAAUACCACUUUCUUUUAAAACAGACAUUUAAAAUAAUACAAGUCAUAGUAACAUUAACGGCUUUUCCCCCACAGGCAAUUAAAUGAUUUUUUUUUCUUCUGAAAAGGUGAUGUGGACCAACAGGUAUCAUCAGACUUGCCAACAAGGUCGAUAGACUCUUCCCAGCAUACACCUGAGCACUGAAGGGAAAAAAAGUUGAAAUUGUUUAAACUAGCAUUAUCACACAAAAUUGAUUAGAAAUAGAAGAAUGGAUCUAGUAUAGCUAAUUCUGAGUAAAUCAAAAUUGUAAUAACUAAUUAAUUACUUUUUAAUCUCAUGUUUUUGGCAGAGGUCACUUAAUAUCAGGUGUAAACUGAACCAUGGUCUUGUUUGAUUUCGUUAUGAUUGGACCCAAAUUCAGCUAAACACAGAGUUCUGUUUUAUGGUAUUAAGAUACAUGAAUUGAAUUUUAAAAAGACUACUCACUGUCAAAAUCUCUCCUUCCUAUAGGAAAUUUAGCUGAGUUUUCUUCAUCCCCAAUUUCUCUCUUUUCUUGUGUUGAUUCAGUAUUUUGAACUUCAUUCUCAGCUGGAAAAGCUACAGAUCCUUUUAGUGCAAGAUAAGGUUUUAUAGCCAGAUUCAGUGGCAGACCAUGAUUUAAGAAAUUAUGUUUGGAACCUGUAGUCUGUAAAGAAAAGGUUGAUUUGUGUUUUAGCUGUUUUAUUGGGAAUGGAACUAUCAUACAAUUGUAUAAUAUUCUUAUUGAUCAAUUCAAAGAUGCUCUGCACUGUUUUGACUCUUUGAAAAUACCUUAGAUACAAGGUUUUCAGGAAAAAACCCUUUUGAUAAAGAGGUGUUUUUUAGGACAAAAGAACAACCUGGUAUGUAUGAAAUUUCAUUAGUUGUUCUAAUGCAUAUUGUGGCUAUUUUCACAUAGUUCUGCUUAUAAAAAAUAUUGACUUUACUUUCAAAGGAUUCAUAAAAAUCAUUCAAAUUCUGUUGAAAUAAAGGACAGAUCACAUUGCCACUUACCUUUGAAUUUUUGUUCUCCUCAUCAUUCAUAAAACUGCUCACAUCAUUUUUAUAUUGCUCCAGGGAAGGAACAACCACCGAUUUUUCUGCAGUAUCUUCCUUCUGAAAGGCUUUCCCUAGCCUCAACGCUUUAAAUACCAUGUCAUCUUCUAAAUUUCUUAUUGACUUGGAUGCUGAAAGUAAGACGCCUUGAGAAAGCAAAGAAAAAUUGGAGUGGGCCACGAGAGACAUUCUUAUGUGAGAUUUGGAAGACAGAAGUGAAGCAGCGACCAUUUUAUAGCUCACAUAAUGGUAUUACUUAUCUGUCAGCUCACCUGGUUAGUUUGGGGCAGACUGCAAUUCCCCUGAAUGCACAUUCCAUUUCUCUGUCUCCUGGGGGGUGUGUGUGUGUGUAUGUGUGUUGUUCUGUCAUAAAGACACUUUACAUACCAUCUUUGUCAUAUGCAGCAAGACCUGAUAGGAGUUUGUCUGUCGUUGGUUUCAACUUGCUUGUGGAUUCCGGAUUAUGCUUGUUCUUCCCUACUUUACAUCCAUCUUUCCUUCUCAACUGCCUGAGGCCCUGUGGACUCCAGCGUCAGAUGAACAAUCUUAUGGAGACUGCUUAAUUAGCUUCUACCAUUGCACAAGAUCAAAUCCCUACAACAAAUCGUAUAAAUAUAUUUAUAUCUGCAUAUAUGUGUGUGUAGUUCUGCUUCUCUGAAUCUUGAUACAUUUACCAGCUCUUUAUGAGUCUUGCAUAAACUUCAUACCAAAACCUGACAAGGGUAUUACAAAAAGGGAAAAUUAUAGGCCAAUCUUUCUCAUGAGCAUAGAUACAAAAAUUCUAAACAAAAUAUUAUCAAACAUAAUCCAGUUAUAUGAAAAAGAUCAUAUUUCAUGACCACGUGAAUUUUAUUUCAGCAAUGUAAAGUGGUUUAACUUUCAAAAAGUCAAAUUCAUUAAAUGAAUAAAGGAGAAAAAACAUGAUUGCCUCAAUAAAUGAAGGAAAGCACAGUGAUCAGCUGUGCCAAAUACUACUGGCUGAGAAAGACA